CAAACGUGGCGGAUGCUUACACAUGCAGUCGAACGAGAUCUUCGGAUCUAGUGGCGCACGGGUGAGUAACGCGUGGAAACCUACCAUUCUGUACGGAAUAACGAUUGGAAACGAUCGCUAAUACCGUAUACGCCCUGUGGGGGAAAGGUCCGCCGCAGAAUGAGGGGUCCGCGUCCGAUUAGCUAGUUGGUAAGGUAAUGGCUUACCAAGGCGACGAUCGGUAGCUGGUCUGAGAGGAUGAUCAGCCACACUGGGACUGAGACACGGCCCAGACUCCUACGGGAGGCAGCAGUGGGGAAUAUUGGACAAUGGGGGCAACCCUGAUCCAGCAAUGCCGCGUGUGUGAUGAAGGCCUUAGGGUUGUAAAACACUUUCAAUGGUGAAGAUGAUGACGGUAACCAUAGAAGAAGCCCCGGCUAACUUCGUGCCAGCAGCCGCGGUAAUACGAAAGGGGGCGAGCGUUGUUCGGAAUUACUGGGCGUAAAGGGCGCGCAGGCGGCCAAUCCAGUCAGGUGUGAAAGCCCCGAGCUCAACUUGGGAACUGCACUUGAUACUGAUUUGGCUAGAACACGGAAGAGGGCAGUGGAAUUCCAGUGUAGACGUGAAAAUCGAAGAUUUUGGGGAAGAACACCCGUGGGCAAAGGGGUGCUGUGCCGAUUUGAGGCCUAAGGGCCAAGGUGGUUACCAACGGAUAGAUACCGGUAUUCAGCCGAAACA
rnacentral:rRNA from 1 species